GGCUUCUUGAUUCCCACUGAUUCACAGACUUGGGUCACCUCAGGCGCACAGUGAAUUGUAAAAGACUAAAGACUGGAGCCCCAUCUGCUCAUCCCUACAGCAGAAUCUGAAGCCUAGGGCCAGGCUUGAAAGUUCCAUCUGAGCUUGCCUUGCUGAGGAAACAAAGAGCAGGCUGCAGGACCAUAAUGAAAUGAGUAAUGUGGGGACAAGAUCCAAAGUCAAUGAGCUGACUUGAAAUAGCUGAGCAUCAAGGCCAUGAAGAACUGACAGCAGCAAAGCCACAACCAGCCACAGCCAUGAAAUUCAAGAGAGAUCAUUAAAAAAGAUUAAUAGAGACAGGAGCAGACAAGUUAAUGCCCAGUUUGAUGGACUGAGGAGGAAGAUAGGGCAGAAUGAUCAGUGGGGAGCAGAAAGGCUGUGUGCCCUGGGAGCCCUGACCUGCAUGCAGAGCCUGCCUGUGCAUUCACCUCCUCCUGCAGACACCCAGGGAAUGUGGGUUCCACUUGGAAACCACAGAGUUCAUGGGAAGUAGCAGCUCGUGCACUCUUUGUGCAAAUGAAAUGUCUAGGACAUAAAAAUCACCUUGGUGUGCCUUGUCUUCCAUCUCCUCUGUUAAAUAAUAAAUAGAAGCCUAAUGGAACUGAGCA
rnacentral:lncRNA from 1 species